GACGAACGCUGGCGGCGUGCUUAACACAUGCAAGUCGAACGGUGAAGCUCCAGCUUGCUGGAGUGGAUCAGUGGCGAACGGGUGAGUAACACGUGAGCAACCUGCCCCUGACUCUGGAAUAAGCGCUGGAAACGGCGUCUAAUACUGGAUACGAGAAGGGUCCGCAUGGGCACUUUCUGGAAAGUUUUUCGGUUGGGGAUGGGCUCGCGGCCUAUCAGCUUGUUGGUGAGGUAAUGGCUGACCAAGGCGACGACGGGUAGCCGGCCUGAGAGGGCGACCGGCCACACUGGGACUGAGACACGGCCCAGACUCCUACGGGAGGCAGCAGUGGGGAAUAUUGCACAGUGGGCGAAAGCCUGAUGCAGCGACGCCGCGUGAGGGAUGACGGCCUUCGGGUUGUAAACCUCUUUCAGCAGGGAAGAAGCGAAAGUGACGGUACCUGCAGAAGAAGCACCGGCUAACUACGUG
rnacentral:rRNA from 1 species